rnacentral:rRNA from 1 species
AUUGAACGCUGGCGGCAGGCUUAACACAUGCAAGUCGAGCGGAGAUGAGGUGCUUGCACCUUAUCUUAGCGGCGGAUGGGUGAGUAAUGCUUAGGAAUCUGCCUAUUAGUGGGGGACAACACUCCGAAAGGAAUGCUAAUACCGCAUACGUCCUACGGGAGAAAGCAGGGGAUCUUCGGACCCUGCGCUAAUAGAUGCGCCUAAGUCGGAUUAGCUAGUUUGUGGGGUAAAGGCCUACCAAGGCGACGAUCUGUAGCGGGUCUGCGAGGAUGCGACGACAUGAUGGGACUGAGACACGGCCCUGACGCCUUCGGGAGGAAGCAGUGGGAAAUAUUGGACCAUGGGGGAAACCCUGAUCCAGCCAUGCCGUGUGUGUGAAGAAGUCCUUAUGUUUGUAAAGCACUUUAAGCGAGGAGGAAGCAACUGAGACUAGUACGCUUGGAUAGUGGACGUUACUCGCAGAAUAAGCGCCGGCUAACUCUGUGCCAGCCGCCGCCGUAAUAC